GACGCGUUUCCGGAGGACGGAAUUCGGCGUCGGACUCGGAGCCCCGCGUAGUUCCGGAGGCGACUGCGACGCAUGGCGGCGAGCGGUGUGGAGAAGACGCGCGGGUGGCGGGGCCUUGCACUGCGGCGGCCCUCCGGCACCCUUGUGCUGCCCCCCUUCCUCCAGGCCCUAGGACCUCAUGCCGGGGAGGCAGCGUGGGCCCCAGGCCCCGGUACUCUGCGCCUCCCGCAGACGCCGGCUUCCCGGCCCGGUUUCCAGCGCCGGGAAUCCUUCCACUGUCUGUCUCUGCCCAGGGCAACCCCUGCGCAGUAACGCGGACCCCAUAGCGCACCCGUUAGGCGAUGAAGGCGCAAAAGAAGAGGAAGAAAACCCGGAACAGGGCCUCGGUGGCAAAUGGAGGCGAGAAGGCCUCAGAGAAGCCCGCCCCAGAGGAAGUUCCCGUACAAGCAGUUGGCCCAGGGAUUGGCUUGGUGCGUGGAGCGACUGCAGCUGGGUCUCCAGAGGCAGAAACUCACCCCGACACGAGUAAGAGACGUGGAUUGUGUGAUGCCCCAUUAUUUUAUGUUAUCAGUAAGAUAAUUUUUAAAAUGCUACAAAUGAUUUUGAGUCCAGCUCGAGCAACAUAGUGGGACACCUGUCUCUUAACAACAACAGCCAAAACAAACAAACAAGCAAUAGCAAAACCCUCAAGUUUCGGAUAUACUCCUGAUUAAGAAACCCAGAAUAGAGGUCAUUUCUAUAAUCACCCGUUUGGAGCAGCAGUGCCCGACAUCAGCAUCUGGGAUCCUGACACGAUUGAUAGAACCGAAUCAAGCAAGUAUGUACUACCCAGAGGAAACCUCCACCUAUAUUGGGAAGUGCUGGCAACUGUUUCUCUGAAACUCUUCAUUCCUCAAACGUUAAUAUUUGCCACAAAUAGUAUUAUCAAAUGGGGAUCAGGUAAAAUUCAAGAGAUUUCCUGAUUCUUGGACAUAAAAUACAGUUUUGUAAUAUUCCUCAAAUGCAGAUGGUCAUGGGGUCUUUCUCUUGGGGUAUAAUACUUCUGGUAAAGCAAAUAUUCUUUGGAAUACAGUUUAAGAAACACUGCUUUAGAGAGAAUAAUUCAGAUCAUUAAUUUAUGUAAAAAACUUAAAGUACUUGCUACUAUGUCUUAGGGUUUUGGGGCCAUAGAGACAAAAGAUACAGCCCUUGCCCUCAAGAAGCUCUUGGUUUCAGAGGGAAACAAUGAAAUGAUUACAAUGUACCAUGCUAAGUGCUGUGAUCGAAGCAAGGAUUCUUGGGUCUGGUAAAUGUUUAAAGUGAGUUUUGGCAAUGAGCACAGUUAAUCCGGGGAGACAGACGAGGGUUGUUUGCAAGGCAGCGACCAGCACGUCAGAAAGCAUAGAGGAGUGAGAAGGAAGGGCCUGCUUUCCAUUGACUUCCUUUCUCUAUUGUAUUUUUAAGUUCAAAAUAUCUUAGGUAAGAUCCUCGGCUCAGUGGAGAAAUACGUAAUUUUGUGAAUUAUUAAUAUUUUUCUGCUGUUUUAUAGGACAAUACCACCCCACUUUUAUUCGCUGUGAUUUGCAAGAAAGAGAAAAUGGUGGAAUUUUUAUUGAAAAAGCAAAUACACAUGCCGUUGAUAGGCCGAGAUUGUACAGCAGUUCUUUUUUAAAGCGAAAAGCUGUUUAUUCUAGAGUUGUAAGAGUCAAGUCAGAAGUACUAAUAAGCUGCACGUAAUUAUUGGCAUAUAGUGAAAAAUAUCACCACGAACAAUCAGGUAGACCAGCAAGUAUUUGGACUAACAAAGAAGAGCAUAUGACGGAGUCUCACUCCGUUGCCAGCCUGGAGUGCGUUGGUGUGAUCUCGGCUCACUGCAUCCUCCACGUCCCAGGUUCGAGCGAUUCUCCUGCCUCAACCUGCCACGUAGCUGGGACUACAGCAUGUCCCCGAGAAAGUGUCGGAGCCUUUACCUCGACCUUCCCGUGAAAAAGGGAACAGAAUAGUCAACGGAAAAGGAGAAGAUUCCACUUCUGCAAGACUCUACAGAAGUCUCCAACCUUCAAAUCUUCAGUCUCCGAAAGCACCGAUUCCUGAAAGGAUGGCCUCAAAUGACCAAGUAUACGAGCCGUCUAUAUCCCUGCUCCUGAAAAACAAGCUAACUGGACUCUCCAUCACCUUCCCCCAGCACAGACGCACUACCAGCUACGCAGCUGAACUCCAUGACUGACUUGCCAUCCAAUCAUGCCCCUGACCCAGCCUACAUGAACAAGGGAAGGAACAUCAGCGAAUUAGGAAAAGAGGCAGAGGUGAGGAGACCACCUGUCCUGGGCCACAGAGCUAUGUAGAGUUCAUCAAUCUCCAGCCCCUUAGUAUUCCAGGGGCUCUAAACCACCUUCUGUAAGUCAGGAUGGAAGUAGAUGGUGCCACGAAGAUUUCUCUCUGCUGUAGCCACUCCUUCAGUGUCUCAAAAUGUUUUAACAUCUUUCAGUAAAAAUCUGUCAGUCCUUGAUAAAUUAAAAAAAAAAAAGGCAGCAAAGUUUUUAGAGCUCCCUUGAACCUUCUAUUUUAAGGCGCCUUUGUAGAUAAUUCCCAACAUUCUGUGUGUCGGUCAUCUUUGGAAUUUAUCGAUCGAUCAUUGUUUCUCUUCAAACUUGGCCUUGCCCUGCCCAUUCCAUUCUUACCCGCUUUCAUUGGCUUCACUAGUCAAUUCCACACUCAUUCUAGACACUGGGUGCACGAGACUCACUCCCGUUUGUAUUACCAAAACUCAGGCCAAUAGGAUAUAAAAAGUAGGAAGAAUACUGGGAUUUAACAUGAGUACAAAUCUCAUUUCUUCCAAUUCCUAUGUCUUCUUGAAUCCUAAUCUUUCUGAGACUCAAGUUUUCUAUCUAAACGAUCCCUUGACCAGAAUGUUCAACAGACGUGACAAUACUAGAACGUGUUUUAAUUCAUUCUAAGAUUCCUUAAAAUUCUGUAAUUCUAUGUGCUGCUGAUUCUGGGAAUACAUAGCCAGCAGAAUUUGAAAAACGAAUAGAAUUAAAGAAAUAACAAAGACAAAAAAAAAAAAAAACAGAGAAGAACGUUUUAAAAACCUCAAGACACGAUUAUAGAAAAUUCAUGGAAAAAUAAACAAGACUACCAAAAGUAUGAUGGAAGUAAGCAGAAAUACUAGCCUAAAUGAAAGCAAAACUGAGAAAUCAAAUACUUUCUAAGACUUGCCUAAACUUGCUUUUGUAAAACUUACAGUCUUGUGGCCAAAGCUAAGUAAGAUCAGCCCUAAAACUUCUGAUGGCAAAAAGAAGAUCCCGGUUCCCACUGAAAUUGUCAAAUUUAUGAUGACAGACUCUGGACUGACCACCUUCUAACGAUAACCUUAAAUGGGUGUUGAAGGUAUUUAAACUCUCAUUAAUUUAGAUGUUAAUUAAAUUAAUGAAUUUAAUUAAGCUGCUUCAGAUGUAUACCAUGUUCCAAGUGCUACAUGGAUGUCUAUCAACCUAUGCUGAGGAACAAGAGAAGGGAUUUGGAAGGCAGGCAGGCUGACAAUCAAAGUGGGUCAGCUGCUUUGUUAACUAGAGGAUCAUGAGCCAAUUAAUCCACUGCUCCAACCCAUACUCGUUUUUUAAACAAACAGUAGUUGAUAGGAACACAGAUGUCGUGAUGGCUUUAUGAGACGAUAAGUGCAAUAGGAUGUCUACCCCGAAUACAACACUCAACAGAUGUUAGUUCCUUCCACCUAUAUUUCCUUGGUUAACAUAAUUUUUUAAAUCUGUACAAUCCUACCUGACUGCAGAUUCAUCAGAACUUCCAACAUCUAUUAAAGAAACAGGCAAAAUGCAUUUUAAAUCAAUAAUAAAGGUACAGAAUAUUAAAAGCAUAAGAAGGCCCAGUGAUGCAUGCCUGUAAUCCAAACUACUCAGGAGGCUGAGGCAGGAGGAUCACUCGAGGAUCCCAGAAGUUUGAGACCAGCUUGGGAAACAAAGCAAGACUCUACCUUAGUAAGAAAAAAACUUGUGCACACCUGUGUGUAUGCUUUAGAUCCUGUUUUUGUUCUUGUUUGUUUUGUUUUGUUUUGUCUUUUAAAGCAUAAGACUGACGCUUUGUUACAAAGCAUUCCUUUGGGAGCUCACCUGGGACCUUAUUAGAAUAAACAUUAAUCAUAAUUAGUGGUAUUUAAUUAAUGCAACAAGAAAUGUUACUUCCCAGUGUAUUUACUAAAUGCAAAGCAUAAUAAAUCAGAAUGAAUUUUAUAAUGUGGUCGCUUCUAAAUUUAGCUAAGGUUGGUAUAUCAUCUGACACUGCACAGGAUUUUUAUAAAACACCUAUCAUAUCAAAGAGCUGGCUGUCUCAAACACAUUGGCCGAAGCAUCUUUACGCAACUUAAUCACAUCUUUUUCACUCAUGUCAAUGAGACUUCUCUGUCUGAGGCCUGACACUUAUGAAGUGAAAUGGGCUGCAGUGGUUUACCCCAAUUCUAGCAUCCCUCCUGCCUCCAGUACUCUCCACAGCAGUAACCUCUUUUGUGAGACUGGGCAUAUGCUGAAGCAACUAGAAAUCAGUUGUCUCAGGUUGACUUCGCUUUAACUCCCAAGACUGCAGCGAAUGUCUUUCUUUCCUCCCUCAUUCUCCUUCCACAAUCGCUCUUCCUUUGAAAAAGGAAUCUUCAGAUCUGUUGUCCCGAUGCUUCCCUUCCGAACUGCUUUUUCUAUGGAUAAUUGUAACCACUUUUUUCGUCUGUAUUCAGCAGUGGUGUCUACCCAUAAUUUCUGUUUUUUCAUCUCAUACUCUUUCCCUGUGGCUUGAAUUAUGCUCAGAAAUAAAAGGAAAUUCAUGCUUGCCCUUGA